AAAGCUCAGUUUUGGAAUCUGGCAGUGAUUCACUGUCCGAGUUGUAAAUUGAAGAGAGUGUCAWCCAUGCUGGACCAUGUCUAAAUUGUAAUGAUCCACAGUCCUUUGAUGGAGUAUCAGAGAGGGUAAUAAUCCCGUCUUUGGCGUGGAUCCUUCCCAGUGUUUCUGUGAUGCACUCUCUCAGAGUCGAGUAGUUUGGGAAUGCUGCUCUAAUGGGAGGUAGACUCCUUCUAAAGCUAAAUAUUGGCGAGAGACCGAUAGCGAACAAGUACCGUGAGGGAAAGAUGAAAAGAACUCUGAAAAGAGAGUCAAAUAGAACGUGAAAUUGCUGAAAGGGAAGCGUUUAGAGUCAGACGCAUCUUCAUGGGAUACCCACUCAAGUUAGGCAGAGACUGAGAGGAGUAACUUGAAGAUGGGCCAGUCCUCACAAAAGGCCAUUGAAGAAGGGGUCAUGAAAUGUAGCUCAGUUCUGAGUGAUUAUAGCCAUGAUUCAGAAGCAAUGUGUGUCUGUGAGUUGAACAGCACGAGUGCACCGACUCUGUGCUUUGAUUUUGACUGGCAUAAUGGCUCUAAGCGACCCGUCUUGAAACACGGACCAAGGAGUCUAACAUGUAUGCGAGUAUUAGAGUGAUUGAAACUCUGAAUGCGCAAUGAAAGUGCUUUGACUGAGAAUCUCUUUAAGGGGGAGAGAGGCAUCAGUACCCCGAGUCUGUUAGUCUUUGACUGAGGAUUUGGAGGCAGAGCAUACAUGUUUGGGACCCGGAAAGAUGGUGAACUAUUGCCUGAAUAGGGGUGAAGUCAGAGGAAACUCCUGAUGGAUGGCCCGUAGCGAUUCUUGACGUGCAAAUCGAUCCGUA
rnacentral:rRNA from 1 species